NUGCAGCCGCCAUGGCCAUCGCCGUCGUCACGGCCAACGGCCUCCCCGUGCUAUGAGACCUCGUCCAUGUCCUCCGUCGUCGACCACUACCUUGACUACGACCACCAGGAGCACUGCAUCGCCGGGAUCCACGCCGUCUUCCUCGCCCACGGCCACCGCUACGUCGCCCGAUCUACCUCACCGGAGCUCCUUCACCCCGCCGAACGCGUCCUCCGCCGUUACCUGUGAGCGCAACCCCCAUCCCCCUUGUCUCCCCCUCCGUUCAAUGCUCUGUUGCGCCGCCCCAUUCCGUGCAAAUUUGGUUGGUGCCCAAGCCCCACGCAUCCUGCCUCGCCUCUGGCCGCGCUCGCCGCGUCCGUGUUGCGCCCCCGGGCGCGCACGCCCUCGCGUGGCCGUGCCCACGCGCACCCGCAGCCGCUGUUGCACGCGCAUCGCGCGCCUGCUCCGGCUGCUCCCCCCCAGCCGCGGUAAGCACGCGCGCCUGCACUUGCCCAGCGCCUCGUCGCGCCCAUCCAUGUGCGCUGCUGCCACUCGAGCGUGCCCGCCCGCACACGCUCUCCCGCGCAUUGCCGUGGUGCCCUGAUACUCUCUUGUUGCUCUGCUCGCUGUUGGAUGCUUGUAUUGCUCCUUACUGCACCCUCUUGCUUGCCCUUGUGGCUGGCACUAGCUGUCUGCUGCUGCCCGUGCUGCUUGCUAUCGCCACUAGUUGCUCUUGUCGUGCUGCUGUUGUUGUUGCGCCCUGCCGCUCGCUGUUGUCGUUAGCUGCUGCUCCGGCUAGACGCCGUCACUGCUGUUACUCUGCUUCUGUGUGUCGUUGCAUGUUGUCGCCCUUAGCUGCUGCUAUUGGUUGCGACUGCGUGCUGCUCCGCCGCUCGUGUUUACUGCUCCUACUGCCAUCGCUGUUGCUACCUCGUGCUAUGCUAAUGCUGCUACGUUUCUACUACUACUGCCCCGGCACCUUGUGUGCUUGGCCAUGACAAGCACAACCGAAGCAUGGUAAAUACGGCUAGUGGUCGGUUCGAUUAGUAGGCCUAAUUAGUUUAUGUUAAUUUAGGAAUUAGUUGAUCUAGGCUUAUUUCAUGUGGACCACUCAUUUUGAUUUGAUCCAUAUUUAGUCUAUGUGCCUAUUACGUGUGGGCCACAUAGCCUCUGUUGACCAGUCAAUUUGACUUGGUCAACCCAACCCCAAUGUCCCCACUGUCAUACACACAGGUUAGAGUAACAUCAGGUAACAAAAAAAAUUGCUGCUUUAUUUUCGGAUAAAGAAUUCCAGAAAUUCAAAAAAUCAUUUAAACUCUGAAAAAUCAUAUAAAAUAAACGGUAAUACGGAUGAAAGUAAUUUAUAUAUGAAAGUUGAUCAGAAAAACGAGACAAAUUCGAUUACGCUGUUCGUUUGUGUGUCAUGCGUCUGUAGCAUAGUGAACAUGUAACUUUUCCAUCGUUUUCGCGUGUCCGGUACUAGCCGAAGACCCGGAAAAUAUCGUCACAUAUUUUUCCGAUCCAUCCAUGACGUGUAGUACUGCAUUAACUCAUGCCUAGCGCUGCCUAUAGCCAUGUCAUACUUUAUGAUGCAUUUGAUUGCUCUGUUAUUUAUUGUGUUUCCCCUAUGUUACUUCCUUUUCGAUAGAACCCCAAGACCGAUGAGGAUCCGGUGAUCGACUACUUGCCGGUUGAGAAUCCGUUUUUGUUUGUAGAGCAAGAAGGCAAGCAAACCCACAUUGAUCAUUUCUAUAUCUCCUAUUCUUUCUCCUUUAUGGAUUUUUCUACUAUUGUAGAUAGCUCCUAUUCUGAUGCAUAGCCCUUUAAACUGUUUUUUAUGAUCGUCGCCGCAAUGUUAAUUAAAAUGCUAAGGGGAGUUGGGUAUUUGAUGUGAGUUUCUCGACAGACCUUUUCGCACUAAUCUUCACAUGGGAGAAGUUAUGGGUACUCGAUAUCGUGGUAUCAGUCUAAGUUGUUCACACGUUAGCAUUGAAGCAGUACGCGCCCGAGUGGCCCGGAUAAACAUCGUUCCAGAAUAAGAGGUGCCAAGAUUGACAUCGGCCGUUCACGCAUCAUGCAGGAGUGCAAAGGGUGAUGGGUCCAUGACCCCUGCAUGCUUAGGAUUUAGACCCGCGGGUUGGCCUCUCUAUUGAGCCUAGGUAGGGUUGCGACGUGUUGAUGUUUCGAGGUUGGGUAUGACUGAGAAAAGUGUGUUUGGUCAGAGUUUAUCAAGCGUGUUGGGUAUUGUAGUGCACCCUACAGGGAUGAAAAUUAACUAUUUGAAUAGUCGUGUCCACGGUUACAGGACGACUUGGAGUUGUGCUCCGAUCUUAUACGACCUCAACUGUUACUUAACUGGAAUAUUUUCUUCGGGAUUGCUUUCUCACUGGGAGUCGAGGAAGAAUCUUUACGCGUGACCUUAUUUAAUAUUGCUGCAACAAUAUGAUUAUAUAUUUGUGUUACUUGCUUUACUCUUGUGUAUUGCUGCAAGACGCUGAAGAUGCUAGUCUUUGAUAGGACUAGUCCUUCUCUCUCUAUUUUUGCAUUGUUGUAGUCAGUCCACUGAUAACCCAAUUCUUCGAUACUGACGCAUACUUAGUAUAGUUUCGAUGUCAGCCUUGUGAGUACUUUGGAUGAGUACCCACUGUUGCUUUGCUCCCCAUUUUCCCCUUGAUACGAUUGUUGUGACCAGAUGAUGGGGCCCAGGAUGGUGUAUCCCGUAGACGACGCCUACUACCUCGACGAUGUCGACUACUAUGUGGAGGCCGCUGACGACCAGGAGUAGUUUAGGUGGUUCCCAGGCAGGAGACCUCGCCUAGUUUGAUCGAUGUAUCAUAUGUGCUAGCCUUUUGUAAGGCAUUAUCCUUGUUGUAUGUUUAUACUCGAAUAUUGUUGCUUCUGUUGACUCAUGUGUUUCUCGAGUUUCUGUAUUCUAUCCCUCGAGGCGCCUGGCUUGUAAUAUGAAG
rnacentral:lncRNA from 1 species